GAGGCCUUAGCUUAAUUAAAGUAUAUGAUUUGCAUUCAUUGGAUGUGUAUUAAUGUUACACAGGUCUUG
rnacentral:tRNA from 1 species